rnacentral:misc_RNA from 1 species
AUUUUAUUUUAAGAAAUUAAAGUUCAAGGACGGAAAUGAAUUAAUCCCCUAAGUUUAGGGACAGUUGGUGCAAUUAAGCCCCUUAAUAUUGCAAGCAGCUUCAAGUUCAUCUGUUCAUGGUAGGUUAAAAAAAGCUAGCAUGAGCUACACUUAUCCAUUCAUUGAUGCUUUCUAAAUGCAUAUGCAUUUACUCUCAGAACUUGUACACUAAAUAAAAUCUCUCCCUUUACCAUAGCAGCAGCACCAUAUUUGCAAAAUAAAAAUCAAGAUCUACCUUGCAUAGUUCUAUGAAUUCACAUUGGCAAAUAGCUAAAUAGCUAAACCAAGUUUAUAUGACAUCAAUUGCACAAAAUAUUCCAGGGAAAAGUUCAAAAUUAUAUCUUGUGGUUCAAAGCUUAACACCUUUUCAGUGGGGCUGUGCACGGUUCCUAAAGGUUCCGAAGCAAACCGAAGAAUCGUACUAGAAUUGAAAAAGAACAAUUACUGUAAGAACCAAAUUGAACUUAUUUUUACUGUUUUGGUUUUGAUUCUUCAUCAGAAAUCGUACCGAAACAAAACCGAAG